rnacentral:rRNA from 1 species
UACAGAGGGUGCAAACGUUGUUCGGAAUUACUGGGCGUAAAGGGCGCGUAGGCGGCCUGUUAAGUCGAACGUGAAAUCCCCGGGCUCAACCCGGGAACUGCGUCCGAUACUGGCAGGCUUGAAUCCGGGAGAGGGAUGCGGAAUUCCAGGUGUAGCGGUGAAAUGCGUAGAUAUCUGGAGGAACACCGGUGGCGAAGGCGGCAUCCUGGACCGGCAUUGACGCUGAGGCGCGAAAGCCAGGGGAGCAAACGGG